AUUGGCCGCUGAUGUUGUCAUUUUGUUUUCUAAAUUUAGCCCCGCUAGUAUGAGCGUGAAGUAGAGAAAAGUGAGCGCGGCGCAUCCGCGCAAAAGCAGCGCAAACUUCAAAACGUCGUGGCGGGGCGUGUGUAGUUGUGCAAAACGACUAAUAGGAAUCACUUUGUUUUUACUGCACACACGGCCGUUUGGCAGCUGUCACACAAGUAGCGCAAGUGGGGCUCGUGUCGGGAUAGGUGGAGAGCUCGGGUGUGUGCACUGGCGACCGUGUCAAUCGCUACGCACACACUGGCACGGAAACAGUUUUCAGUUCUCGAUCCACACUCCGCCAUUCAACUUUAAUUUUUACACAUUCUGGGAGCUAGAAAAAAAGCAGCUAAAGAACGCGUACGCUGAGAAAAUUUCGUGCUUGAAACGUCUUAAAUUUCAAUUUUGUUGUUGAGUUUGUCGGUUUCUGGUUUCCCGCGGCGUGCGGUCUUCAACAACAAACGUCCUUGCGUAGAGUCUGACAUUGGGAACGGGCCAUCGAGAAGAAUUCGGACUCGAAACGACUUUCAUUGAUCACAAACGUCGUCCUCGCUGCGUUUUCUCGGCGACGACAUCGUGUUUGGUUGCUCCCUUUUUUCUUUUUGCCACAAGUGCUUCGAAUAACCGCUGGCGUAAUCGUUAUCAGUGACAUCCUCGUGAAUUUCUGCUUUGCGUUGCAGUAGGCGCUCCGGAUCGUGGGUGCAUCGUCGCGUAGUUACCGCACGCUUAGAGAAAAAACGGUGAAAGAUAAAAGCCAGGGACGAAGGCUUGCACCUUAACGGAAGGUUCCCUCAACUUGGUCGUGUACGGAGCAAGCAGGGCUGGUGAUGUUCCUGCAGAAGUAACAUUUCACCGGAAUAACGAAGUGAACCAGUAACAGAACAAAAGGACAACUGAAAAUAUCCUUCUCUAUGAGUUCAGUAUGAAAAUAGGAAAUGGGAGGUUUCUUGGAUAAACCGAAGACAGUUAAACAUAACGAACAUGGUGAAGGCAAUGGACUUACUUACGGCGUCGGCUCUAUGCAGGGCUGGCGUUGUGAAAUGGAAGAUGCACACUACGCCCGGACGGGGUUAGGUGAAAAAUUCGAAGAAUGGAGCUUCUUUGCAGUAUUCGACGGUCAUGCAGGCUGUAAAGUGAGCGAACAUUGUGCAAAACAUUUACUUCAGUACAUCAUAGACACGGAUGAGUUCAAAAAUGGCGAUUACGUUAAAGGAAUUCGAACUGGAUUUCUACGAAUUGAUGAAAUUAUGCGUGAAUUGCCUGAAUUGACAGCGGACGCUGAAAAGUGUGGCGGAACAACAGCUGUUUGUACAUUUGUUUCAGAUAAACAUAUUUACAUUGCAAAUUGUGGAGAUUCACGAGCCGUUCUAUGCCGAAAUGGAGUACCCGUUUUUGCAACACAGGAUCACAAACCUGUACUACCAAAAGAAAAGGAACGAAUCUGUCGAGCAGGUGGCAAUGUGAUGAUACAACGAGUUAAUGGCAGUUUAGCUGUGUCUCGAGCAUUGGGCGAUUAUGAUUUCAAAAAUGUUAAGGAAAAAGGACAAUGCGAACAGCUUGUAUCGCCUGAACCAGAAAUUUUUUGUGAAGAGCGUGAUGAAAGUGAUGAGUUCUUAGUACUUGCCUGUGAUGGUAUCUGGGAUGUAAUGACCAAUGAGGAUGUUUGUAGCUUUAUUCAUUCGAGGCUUAAAAUUACCAAUGAUUUGGAAUUUAUUUCAAAUCAAGUUAUUGAUACAUGCUUACAUAAGGGGAGUCGUGAUAAUAUGAGUAUCAUCAUUAUUGCAUUCUCUGGAGCGCCAAAACCUUCACCUGAAGCUAUUGAAGAAGAUCGGCUAUUGGAGCAACAUAUUGAAAGCAUAAUCAGAGAAGAACUUGUGUGUAAGCAAAUAAAUGAAUACGCCGAGUUGCUGGAAGCCCUUCACUUACGCGAAAUCGAAGGUUUGCCGCCAGGUGGUGGUCUGCAAUCAAAAUAUGAAGUAAUCGAGAAAACGUUCAAGGAGAUUUGGCCUAAUCUGGCAUACCAGUGUGAAAGUCCAACGCAUUGAUUUCCGGUGUUUUAAUCUAUAUAUAUUUACAACCUGAAUGUUUGCAAUUUUAAUUUUACUCGUUAUUUGAAUAAAGAAAAGAAGAAUUGAGUGUUUCAUGUACUUUAUGUGAAAAACUCUGUGUAAUAAGAAACUUUGUAUAAAUACCUACUAUAAAAAUAAGAAACGAAAUCAGUGAGAAAGGAACACCACUAAAGAGAAAUUCAUUCGUUCUGAACUAUAGAUACAAGUAAGAAGUAUAUAAUUGGGAGUUAACAAAAGAUGAAGUAUGUUGUAUAUGUGAAUUUUUUUUAAAAAAAAAGAAAGAAGAGAAGAUAUAUUUCAUAAAGAUGCGGAUAGGAAAGCCAAUCAUGACAAGGAGGAGAAAAAAUAUCUUUUAUAGGAAGGACCUUUUAUUUAUAUGAAUAGUGCGUAAAUGGAAAGUAACUGAAUUUUCGAGAUCAAUGUCAUUUAAAACUAAGGAUAUGUCAUUAGUAGUAAUUAACGGAGAAACAAAAUGAAUAUAUGAUUUGAGUUUAUUUUUUUUUUUUUGAAUGGAGGACGAUGUGUAUAAAUCUUGUUGAUGUACUUCAUUAGGUUUGUUUUUUUUUUAUUUUCCUGUCUAAAAGAUAUAUGUUAGUCUGAAAUCCUGAACGAUCGAUUUGUUCUUUAGUAAAUCUGAACAAAUCAAUGCCCUUACUUCAUGUAUCUAGUUCAAGUGUAGAAUUUUUGUAACACGAUCGAUAAUCAGGCACGGGAACACUUACAACCCCACUUCACAAUUCAGGAUUUGACUCUAACGUAUAUAUUCCACUGUACAUUAGCUUGUUGAUAAUUAUAGUUUUUAUUGUACGAUUGUAAUUUAUAUGGUUCAAUGCAAAGUACUACUUUACAACUUUAUUUAUUUUGAUGACUACCUUUACUUCUUCACCAUGGUAACUUCUAGAUCUUUUGAUAAAUGUUAAAAACCGAAGCUUGGACAAAGAAAAUAUCCAGAGAAUAAACUUACCACUCAACAACAACUACAACCAACAAUAAUUUCAGUGAUACAAUAAAGAUACAAAUGCAAAAUGGUCAUAUGUACGUAUAUCAUGAUUGCAAGUGUGCACAAAACAACAUUUUCCAUAAAAAAGAAUUAUAUUUCAGUAGUUUUACAGAAAUAAAUUAUAGUAUGUGUUUA
rnacentral:misc_RNA from 1 species